rnacentral:lncRNA from 1 species
GUGAUGAAUUCUUCCAGAACUACGUUCAUCCAUCAAGGCAGUGGAUUCCCUUCUGAUCCAAGGUGGACCUAGAAACACCAUCAAGGAGCAAAGAAAUCCGGGGCUUUUGGAAUCUGCUUGGUGCUUUAUUUUACUGUGGCUGAGCUGGUACCCAACGUACAAAACACAGUUUUCUUUACUCUUCCCUCAUCUUUCCCCCAGCAGGAGUCUAUCCCAGAGUUACACUGCCUGGAGUUGGUGGAUAGGCAACACAGGUACUCCACUGGCUGCCACAACUGGUGUUGCAUUGGGUAACAACCAAAGUCCACUGUCUCUGAGGAACUACAUGAAACAGGGAUGAUCAUCACCUUCAUUGUUUUACAGGUAAGAAAACCGAAGUUUACAGUAAAUUGCUUACCCAUAGUUGCAUGUGUAGUAAGAGGGGCUAGAGAGUAGGAAUUUGAUAUUAUGUUGAGCUCUUCAGUUUGUAACCAUUGUUUUCCUUUAGAAUUAUCUCCUGGUUUUCCAUAAGAGUAAGUCUUUCUUGGACUUUUGUUCAGGCACCAACAUUCUUCUACAAACUUGAAUUCUUCACAAAUAGCACUUACCUUUCUAUUAACUCUAAAGUGUCGUCUAUAGUCCAACAAACUAUAAAAGUAAGAAGUGUUAAAAUUCUUUGUUUAAAAGCAUUCAUUAUUACUUACAUUUCUAAAUGAAUGUAAGAAAGGCAAUAACUUAGCAAACAGAAAGUUCAAUCAGAUUUGCUCAGGCAGGGGUCUUAUGGUAUUUCAAUGAGGAAUGAUGUCCAUUCCAUGGCUAAAGUGGCAGGACACAAAAUGUAAUGGAAUUGCACAAAUUGAGAACACAUUUUCCUAAUUUGAGGAGUUAUGAACUUCUGCAUUAUGCAUGAAUCAGAGAAAAAUAAGGCAUCCCAGGCUAUAAAAAAGUGCCUCUCUUAGCUAAGUUACCAUGCUAUGGCUCUGUUCCUGUUUAUACUUGCAUUUGUUCAGAGUUGUGCUUUUGAAGAAAAUCAAAAUAUUUCAGCCCAAAAUAUACUUAACAUAUUUUGACAUUGCUAUUUAGAAGGCCUAUAAACAGAAGGAGCCCUGCAAAGCUGUCUUUUGUGAGGGAGACUUGUAUUUGUAGCAAAUAUGCAUUGAUGUGGCCAAGUUUCUCUGAAGCCUUCCCUUGCAGAACAACCCUAACAAAGAUUAACUGAUAGACAGCGUUCAAGAUCUCAAAGCAACAUUUACCACUUCUUUUCAGGGCUGCAGCCUGUGGGAUGACAUCUGCCUAACAAAAGCAGAUUUUGCUAGUCAGGUCUCCUCUUUUCCCCUCCUGUAACCUAUUUUGUCAGAGCCAAGCCCGAUUAUUUCUGUAAUCUCACUAUGGCACAUGUGCCCUGAACUACACUCAAAGAAAGGUUGGGGAUAAUCACUUUGGUUCUUCCAGAUGUGCAUGUUAACACAAUUGUAUACCUUUUCUCAAAUCAAUCAGUCUUUUGUGAGUUGACUCUAAAGCAAAAUUUCAGAGAACAAAGGAAAGUGUUUCCCUUAGUCCCUACACCUUAAAUUUAAAAUUAAAUUUAUCUCCAUUGCAUGAAGCAGGAACAGCCACAAACAAACCUCUCAAACACCGAACUGGGAAUGAAGUGGUGAUUUCUUCAGCUGCGAGCUGCGCAGGCAUGCACAUCUUAACAACUGAGCUCCCUGAUUAGAAAAUCCUAACUCCUUAUAACGGCUUACAAUUCUAGAAAUUACAUGUGAAGGGGUCUUGAUCCAUGAAGUAGGCAUGGGGUACGUGACUCAGGUGGGGGUCUGAUCGUGUUUAAGUAAAAACAAUG